GUUCAUGGUGUAUUAGUUCAUUCUCACAUUGCUAUAAAGAAACACCUGAGACUGGGUAAUUUAUAAAGAAAAGAAAUUUAAUUGACUCACAGUUCCACAGGCUGUACAAGAAGCAUCACUGGGGAGGCCUCAGGAAACUUACAAUCAUGGCAGAAAGAGAAGGGGAAGCAGGCACAUCCUGCAUAGCUGGAGUAGGAGGAAGAGCAAGAAGUGGGAGGUGAUACACACUUUUCAAAAAGCAGAUCUCGUGAGAACUCACUCACUAUCAUGAGAACAGCAAGGGGGAUGUCUGCCCCCAUGAUCCAAUAACCUCCAACCAGGCUCCUCCUCGAAAAUUGGGGAUUACAAUUUGACAAGAGAUUUGGGUGGGGGCACAAAUCCAAACGGUAUCACAUGGGUUGGAGGAAAGAUAACAUUUAUAUAAAGUAUUAAUUUUGCAUGGUAAACAUGGUGGAUAACUAUUAAAUAUUAGCUGUUGUUACCAUUAUUAUUGAGUUCACGCUCUACUUUAGUAAUCUCCGCAUUACCCUACAGUACUGAAAAUUCUACUCAUAAUUUUUAUAUCAUUAUUUAUUUAAUUUGUAUGAAAUAAUUAUUUUAAAAUUGUAUUUUCAAUCUGGAGCCUGUAUAUGUGGUUAAAAACUUGAAUUUCAAAGCAUAGGCUAAAAACCUUAGAAAAUAAGGUAAGGGAAAUUAAGAAUAAUAUGAAAAUCUUGAGAAUUCUAUGUGACAUUGUGUUGCCUCUGGGAUGCCAAGCCAUGACAGUGCAAAAAUGAAUCCUGCCCAUCCACAACCAAUGAUUGCAUAGAAAGUUACAGUAGCAGCAGUUAUCUUAAAAUCCCAGUAUGUACUGAGGUACUCUUUUAAAAGUUAGGACAUACCAUUAUUGUGCAGAUAACAAUUAGCCACAAUCACCUAUAUAUUCAUGUAUGUUAUUCAGGAAAUCCUGAGAGAUGAUUGCAUAAAAUUAUCAUUUAAACUUCAGAGGUAAAUUACUGGACUAUUCCGUUGUCUAAGAGCACUCAACUCUUGGCAGAACAAUUUAGUUAAAAGUACAAUUAAGCAAACAA
rnacentral:lncRNA from 1 species